CCUCUUGCAAGACCAAUGAAUAAGAGGUCCCGCCUGCCCUGUGACUAUAUGUUUAACGGCCGCGGUAUUUUGACCGUGCGAAGGUAGCGCAAUCACUUGUCUUUUAAAUGGAGACCUGUAUGAAUGGCACCACGAGGGCUUAACUGUCUCCCCCUCCCAGUCAAUGAAAUUGAUCUCCCCGUGCAGAAGCGGGGAUAAAUACAUAAGACGAGAAGACCCUAUGGAGCUUAAGACGUCAAGACAGCUCACGUUAAACACCCCAAACAAAGGGAAAAACCAAGUGAAUCCUGCCCUAAUGUCUUUGGUUGGGGCGACCGCGGGGAAAAAUAAAACCCCCAUGUGGAGCAGGAACACUAUGUUCCUAAAUCCAAGAGCUCCCGCUCUAAUAAGCAGAACUUCUGACCAACAAGAUCCGGCAAUGCCGAUCAACGGACCGAGUUACCCUAGGGAUAACAGCGCAAUCCCCUUAAAGAGCCCUUAUCGACAAGGGGGUUUACGACCUCGAUGUUGGAUCAGGACAUCCUAAUGGUGCAGCCGCUAUUAAGGGUUCGUUUGUUCAACGAUUAAAGACCU
rnacentral:rRNA from 1 species